GAAGCGGGGAUGACGUCAAGUCCUCAUGGCCCUUAUGGGCUGGGCUACACACGUGCUACAAUGGCGGUGACAGAGGGCAGCGAGAGGGCGACCUCGAGCUAAUCCCUAAAAACCGUCUCAGUUCGGAUUGUACUCUGCAACUCGAGUGCAUGAAGGUGGAAUCGCUAGUAAUCGCGGAUCAGCAUGCCGCGGUGAAUACGUUCCCGGGCCUU
rnacentral:rRNA from 1 species